UGUCUGGAACUUUCUCUACUUAACAGGCUUUCUGGCGGAGAAGAAACAAUGAAUAUUCUGUGUAUUUUGACAAUUUUAGCGUGGUUACCGAGUGCCUUCAGUGCAUGGAUGGAACAAACACCAAGCGAAGCAACAAAACAACCAGGCGAAACUCUGACCAUCAACUGUAUUUUAAUAUAUUCUCCCUAUGAUUUGGAUGAACCACAUUGGUACCGCCAAAUUCCCGGUCAAGAUUAUAGGGAACGAUUAUCGACUGGAGGGCGAUUUGCGGAAUCUGUCAACCAUCAGGCAAAGUCCUUUUCCUUGCAGAUCAGUAAUCUAGUUGCGGAAGACACAGCCAUUUAUUUUUGCAAUAAUUACUACUCCCACAGUAACGGAGCUGAGCACAAACCAAUUCAAAUACCAAGUUCACCAAACAUCAAUGUCUAUUCUGCAACUGAUGGACAAAAGGCACAGGGUUUUGUGGAAUUGAUUUGUGUCAUGAGCGACUACCUACCUGAAAACAUCGCAGUGAACUGGCAGAAAAACCAACGAGCCGUACAUUCUGGCAUUACCACCAGGCCUCCUGCUAAAACAUCGGAUGGAACGUUUACCUCAGCAAGUGUGCUGAAAGUGCCGCUGAAUGAAUGGGCCAGUGGUUCUGUGUUCUCGUGCCAAGUAUACCACUCUGCAACGGGCAGGAACAUCCGCAAAGACAUACGAACCGAAUCAGGUUUCGCAUUGUUUCUCAGAGAUCCUACUGUUGAAGAAAUAUGGAUAAACAAAAUUGCCACACUGGUGUGUGAAGUGAUCGCCACAACUCCAGCUGAGGUUUCCAUCUCCUGGACAGUGGGUGGAAAGAAAAGGGCUGAUGGUGUUCAAACUGGACAAGCAACAAAGUUCGGAACCCAAUACCGGACAGUUAGCCGUUUGACCAGCAGUGUUGCGGAGUGGGACAGCGGGGUUGAAUACUCCUGCUUGGUGCAGAACAAUCAAUUAGCUACGCCAUUAUCAAAACUGACACGGAACAGAAAAGCCAAGCCAUUGGAACCAAGCUUACACCUCUUGCCCCCGUCUCCAGAGCAGAUUGAAACUGCGGGUUUCGCUGCGCUCACAUGCAUGAUAACGGGAUUCUACCCCGAUGACAUAACCGUUUUGUGGCAGAAGGACGGAGCCGCGUUCCACUCGAACACUACCAUCUUCUCCACAGCACUUCAACAGGACAUGACCUUCAGCACGAGAAGCCUCCUUUACUUGACUUCAGCCGAUUGGAAGAAGGACGCAAGAUACUCCUGUGUCGUCACGCACCCACCUUCAAAUGCUAUUGUGAAAGCAAACAUCACGACCCCGAAAGAAGAAUGCCGUGGGGCAGACAUUAAUGCCAUUAUUAAAAAGCCUUCUUUUGAAGAGAUUUGGAUGCUUCGGAGGGCAACAAUUGUGUGCGAAGUGGUUUACACUGAUUUACAGAAUGUCACAGUCUCCUGGCGAGUAAACGGGAGACGAAGAAUGAACGGAGUAGUGACUCGCGGUCCAGAGUGGAGGGGAAGUAAAUCCGUCAUCAUCAGCAAGCUGAAGAUCAGUGCAGAGGAGUGGAACAGUGGAACUGAAUACCUGUGCUUCGUCGAAGACCGUGAUAUGCCAACACCACUGACAAUCGCCACCAAAAAAGACGAGGUUACUGAAGUGCACCGUCCGAAAGUCUACCUCUUGUACCCAUCAGCUGAGGAGAUUCAAGCCGAGGAAGCAGCUACUUUAAUUUGCUUCGCGACCGGUUUUUAUCCGGAAGAUAUAUAUGUCGGCUGGAUGGCUAAUGACACCCUUUUGCAUUCGGGAUUCUCCAUCCAGUUUAACAGCGAUAAGGAAAACGGCUCUAACUCGGUCACCAGCAAACUGAGGAUCAGCGCAGAAGACUGGGAGAAGGGAACCACCUAUAGUUGUUUGGUUGGACAUCCGUCGCUACCAACAAAUUUAGUCAGAAGUAUUAAUAAAUCCCACGGUAAACCAACUUUAGUUAACGUGUCACUUGUACUAACUGACAACUUUAAAUCGUGUGUCUAAUUUUGCUUGAUUCAAUGACUAAUACUUUGGAAGUAUUUCUUGCUUACUGCAUAGCUGCUUGAGUUUUCGUUUUGCAGAUUCGCAGAAGACCAAGCAUAGUAUUCACUCUUCAGAUUAUCCCACGUGAAAUAUUCCAUUAAUGUCAUCUGUUCGGUAACAUUGUGAUCAGCUCUGGAUAAUAGUACAAUGGUUUACACUGAUUCUGAAAAUUUAGUACUUCGGAGAUGUUAUUAAGUCACGGAAUAGAUAGCAGAUAGCGAUUUUUUCCG